UAAUACAUGCAAGUCGAGCGAAUGGAUUAAGAGCUUGCUCUUAUGAAGUUAGCGGCGGACGGGUGAGUAACACGUGGGUAACCUGCCCAUAAGACUGGGAUAACUCCGGGAAACCGGGGCUAAUACCGGAUAACAUUUUGAACCGCAUGGUUCGAAAUUGAAAGGCGGCUUCGGCUGUCACUUAUGGAUGGACCCGCGUCGCAUUAGCUAGUUGGUGAGGUAACGGCUCACCAAGGCAACGAUGCGUAGCCGACCUGAGAGGGUGAUCGG
rnacentral:rRNA from 1 species